rnacentral:rRNA from 1 species
UAAGAAUUUAAAAGUCGAACAGACUUAUUAAUGAGAAUACUGCAUCUCAAAAUUUUCUUAAUUCAACAUCGAGGUCGCAAAAUAUAAUAUAGAUAUGAACUCCCCAUUAAAAUUACGCUGUUAUCCCUAAGGUAACUUUAUCUUACUAUCCAAUAACAAAGGAUCAAAAUUUACAUAAAUAAAUGAAACAUAAAACUAAAGUUCAAAUUUAGCUGCCACCCCAGCAAAAUAUAUAAAAUUAUAAAAAAUAUAAACUCUUAAAAAUUAAUUAUAAUUAAAUAUUAUAAAGUUCUAUAGGGUCUUAUCGUCCCAAUAAAUAAAUAAAGCAUUUUAACUUUAAAUUUAAAUUUUAAAUAUUAAAAGAAUAAAAUAUAAUUCUCAUACAUCCAUUCAUACGAGCUUUCAAUUAAAAAACUAAUUACUAUGCUACCUUUGCACAGUCAAAUUACUGCAGCCAUUUAGAAAAUAUCAACCAUAGGGCAGAAGGUACUUUUUAUAAAACCA